rnacentral:rRNA from 1 species
GUCCACGCUGUAAACGAUGGGUGCUAGUUGUCGGCAGGCAUGCCUGUCGGUGACGCAGCUAACGCAUUAAGCACCCCGCCUGGGGAGUACGGCCGCAAGGUUAAACUCAAAGAAAUUGACGGGGGCCCGCACAAGCGGUGGAGCAUGUGGUUUAAUUCGAAGCAACGCGCAGAACCUUACCCACGUUUGACAUGCCCAGUUUGAUCGCCAGAGAUGGCUUUCUUCAGUUCGGCUGGCUGGUGCACAGGUGCUGCAUGGCUGUCGU